AUCCCUUCUAUAAUCUGCUGGCAGCAAAAUUGCAGGAAGUGUUGCGACAGCUACUGCAAUUACUUCUUCGUUGGGAGCGGAUUAUACUGGAUGGAGUGCCGAAAAUAAGUUUUAUCGAUAUCGAUAUAGGAAAAAACUUUGUUAUGGAUCUUCGUAAGAAUCGAUGUUGUUGCUUCAGUGACACUCAGCAUUCUUCCUACGCCUCGGGAGUUUAUACUCUCAUCUUAUCUGCAUGUGGAAUUGCUUAUUUAGCUAGUACAAUUGCCUAUACUCCCAAUAGUCUACAUCAUGAAAUAGGUAAUCAUUUUGAAUAUAAAACUGGUAGUAUUUCUGCAUUAGUUUUUUUUAUAUUACUACUGAUGUUCAGUCUGAAAUUAUUAUAUGGGAUUCAAACGGUAGAUUUCUUUCCCAAUCUGUGGAAUUUUAUUAAAACUGUUCCAUUCUUUAUAUUUCCAUAAAUUCUUUAGGGAAAACGAUUAAUGUUUGUUCCUUGGAUGGUGUGCAUCGUCAUCAUUAUAGUAUUGCAGAGUGCUGCACUUUUCAUGUACUUAGUAAAUAUGUACAAUAUUAUGGACCGGCAUCAAUUUGGCCUUUUAAUGAUAAUGAUUGGUAUGUUAGGAGUGAAUGUUGGAUGCUUUAUCCUAGUCAAUACUUACUAUCAGGUCUUAAGAUUGGGUUUAAAAGAGUAUAGCCCACUGGUAUACACAAUUAUGUAAUAUUUUAAACAUUCUGGAUUCAGAAAUUCUUCAUCGUGAUUUAUAUGAUAUAUAUAAUUUGGUUAUGUUUCACUAUUUUGGUAUCAAUAAAAAAUGACAAUGAUUAACUAUCAAUAUUUUAAAAAAAUUAAUGUCUAAUAAUCUAUUAUAAUCCAAAUAAUUCUAGUGGAUUAUUUUGGAAUUACUAUACAUUGUAAUUAAUAUAAUAAUGUCUAUUAUCCAAGGUAAGGUGCACCAAGAAUAAUCUCGGAUUAUCAAACUCUAACAUGGAUUGUUUAAUCGAUUAAGUAGGAUUCUACUUUGACUGCCUCAUGUUUUCGUGGGGUAAACGUGUAGUUUAGUCCAGU
rnacentral:lncRNA from 1 species